UACAGAGGUCUCAAGCGUUGUUCGGAUUCAUUGGGCGUAAAGGGUGCGUAGGUGGCGAGGCAAGUCGGAUGUGAAAUCCCGGGGCUUAACCCCGGAACUGCAUUCGAUACUGCCUUGCUCGAGUACUGGAGAGGAGACUGGAAUUUACGGUGUAGCAGUGAAAUGCGUAGAUAUCGUAAGGAAGACCAGUGGCGAAGGCGAGUCUCUGGACAGUUACUGACACUGAGGCACGAAGGCCAGGGGAGCAAACGGG
rnacentral:rRNA from 2 species